rnacentral:misc_RNA from 1 species
GUUCGGUACUUCCCAAAUUUUGAGAGGACAUUAGAAGUGGCAAAAACGGUUAUUAAGCACAAAUCCUUUGUGUACAACAAGUCAGACAUGAUGGUGGACCUGAGUGAAGAUGAAAAAUUACAAAAUAUUAUGCAAGCGAAGUCGUGCUCUGAUCUUUAUAAAGUGGUUGGUGAGGAUUUUUGGUUGGCUACCUGGUGCAACAGUACUGCU